UACGGAAGGCAGCAGGUGGGGAAUAUUGCACAAUGGGCGAAAGCCUGAUGCAGCUAUGCCGCGUGUAUGAAGAAGGCCUUAGGGUUGUAAAGUACUUUCAUCGGGGAGGAAAAAACAAAACUAAUAAUUUUAUUUCUUGACGUUACCCGAAAAAGAAGCACCGGCUAACUCCGUGCCAGCAGCCGCGGUAAUACGGAGGGUGCUAGCGUUAAUCAGAAUUACUGGGCGUAAAGAGCACGUAGGUGGUUUUUUUAAGUCAGAUGUGAAAUCCCUGGGCUUAACCUAGGAACUGCAUUUUGAAACUGAAAUACUAGAGUAUCGUAGAGGGAGGUAGAAUUCUAGGUGUAGCGGUGAAAUGCGUAGAUAUCUGGAGGAAUACCUGUGGCGAAAGCGGCCUCCUAAACGAAUACUGACACUGAGGUGCGAAAGCGUGGGGAGGCAAACAGGGAUUAGAUACC
rnacentral:rRNA from 1 species